rnacentral:lncRNA from 1 species
AUGGCUGCAGACCAAAGCCUCAUAUCUACAUACCACCAUAUCCCGUGGAAUAAUAACAACAAUGACAACAAUGGAAGCAACAGCGGCUACUAUAUGUUGAUCUGUGUGUCAGGUGGGAAGAGGUCCAGAGUCACCCAAGUGGGUUCAGACCCGGAACCAAUUAUCCAGGUACUCAGAGCCUGAAAACAGUGUUUGCACAGGAACAAUCAUGUUUAAGUUAACAUCAAGGACAGCCUUAGAAGAAAAAUGUGGGCAAUAAUUGACUUUAAAGGUAAGGAAAGGAAGGGAGUCCCUUGAAUUUUGCUUUGGUAAUAGUGUAUAAGUUUGGAAUGAAUUUUAUGUGUACAAAACUCUGUCUUUGAGAGCACAAGUUGAUGGGGACCCUUCUACCUUCCCCUGUCCAGCCAUCAUCAACCAUCAUGUCCUUUUAUCCCCAGUUAUAAGGGUGUGGUAAUUGCCCUGAGUCAUUCUACCUUAAACAAAAUUCUGUUUAUCUCCACUAUAUUCACACAGAAAAUAUGUUUUCCCUCAGGCAAUAUGUGGGACACUAGACAAAGUGUGUACUAUGGGGAUUAUCUGCUUUUCCAGGAUGUAUGGAAUGAAUUACUGAAAUGAGUUGCUGAGGGAACCUCCUGGUUCUCCAUUUCUGGAAACUAUAGGUGGACAACCUUCUACUUCGACAAGUAUCAGACAUUAAGACUCAACCUUUGUACUGUAAAUACUUUCACUGUUUGCUUUGUUUUAUUAUUCCCAACCAUCCUGAUAAGAGUAUGUUAAGGCACAUCACUUUAAAGCCAAUUAAUUAAUUUUGAGUAUUUUAAAGUCCCCUUGUGAUUCUCUCAAUUAAAUGUAGGAUGUCACAAAAAUAAAUGAAAAUUCUUGGUCUAGGGACA